AUCAACAAUUGGGCCACACAGUUUACAGAAAACCUACACAUACAGAUUUGAUACCUUCAUAAAAACUCCAACCAUCACCCAAGUCAAAAAAGGAGCACAAUCAAAGCCCUGACAGACCGUGCACAAAGAAUCUGCGAACCUCACCUCCUCCAAGGUGAACUCAACCACCUAAACUGGGCUCUACAGGCCAAUGGAUACUCCACCACAGACAUCAGAAGAGCUGCAAGGCCAAGAACAAGCCAUGAGAGUCAAGACAAAGAUCCACCCAGAGGAAAGGUGUUCUUACCAUACAUCAAGGGAACUACUGACCGCAUAGGGAAGCUGAUGAAGAAGCACAACCUACAAACUAUCUACAGACCCACGAAGAAAAUCCAACAAAUGCUACGGUCAGCGAAGGACAAGAGGGAUCCUCUCUCUUCUGCAGGAGUCUACCGGAUACCAUGCAGCUGUGGACAAGUCUACAUAGGGACCACCAAACGCAGCGCCCAAACAAGAGUCAAAGAACAUGAAAGGCACUGCAGACUAAUUCAACCAGAGAAAUCAGCCAUAGCAGAGCAUUUGAUGAACCAGCCUGGACACAGAAUACUAUUUGAGAACACAAAAAUGCUGGACCAUUCUAACAACUAUCAUGUCAGACUACACAGAGAAGCCAUUGAAAUCCACAAGCAUGUGGACAACUUCAACAGAAAGGAAGAAACCAUGAAAAUGAACAAAAUCUGGCUACCAGUAUUACAAAACUCCAAAAUCAAAACAGUAGAUGGGAACCAACACAAUGAGGACUUGACUGAACAAAGGAUGCCCCCAGGCAAGUGACAAAGAACUCUUGCCACACCUUGGACUCUACACAGAUAUAUAUUCUUUCCUUUCCUGACUUAGUUUAUCCAUACCUCACAACCUCUGAGGAUGCCUGCCAUAGAUGUGGGUGAAACGUCAGGAGAGAAUGCUUCUGGAACAUGGCCACACAGCCCGAAAGACAUACAACAACCCUGUGAUUCUGGCCAUGAAAGCCUUCGACAACACAAGAAUUAUAUUCAUUAAAUCACUAUUUUGAAAACCUGAACACCAGAAUUCCACAUACACCAGCUGAUCAGGCUGCAGUGUAUAGUCUUUUGUGAAGUCUUCUCAAUAGUUCUAAGUCGUAUGUGAUUUUAAUUUUUUAAUUUUUUAUUUUAAAAUGGUGGGAACAUGAGUCGUAUGUGAAAAAUGUCAAGGUGUACAGUUUGAUAAUACAGUAUUCUGCAGUAUUCUUAUUGAGCACUGAUAUGUACCUAGCACAAUCACCUAACACUAUGGUUUGUCAUUACUUCCAUUGGUGAAGCAUUCAGUUUAUGACCAUCUUUCAAAGAAUGAAGGCACAUCUCUUACUGCAUUUUGUUCAGGUGAACCAUAAAACAUUCAGUGGUUUUAAGUAGUGUGGAUUAUAAAUAACUACUUUGCUUUCUGGAUAACUACUUGCCCAGCAGGGUGUAGUGGUUGGUUUGAGUGUUGGACGAGGAUAUUGGGAGUCCAGGAUUUAAACCCCACUUGGUCAUGGAAACCUACUAGGUGGUCUUGGGUAUGUCCCACUCUCUCAGUCACAAAGAAAAGUAAGGGAAAACCUCUUCUGAACAAAUUCUGCUAAGAAAAUCCAUGAAAGCCUUUCCCCUAGGGCCCCUAUAAGUAAAAAAUAACCUGAAGGCACACAACAAUAUUUUUAUUUCCCCCUUGAAAAUAUUUCAAUCAAAACUUUAUUAAAGUCCAAAGACUCAAGUAGCUCAGUGGUAAUAUGUACACAAUGUGCAGAGAGGUUAAUGAACUGAUAAAACUGAUUAAAACACUGGACAACACACUAUACAAAGUGCAUAUAAACAAGAGUCAGAACACUCCAAAUCAAUAUAGGGC
rnacentral:lncRNA from 1 species